rfam:Streptomyces agglomeratus strain 6-3-2 2, whole genome shotgun sequence.
GAGAGCCGGAUGCUCGGCCAACGGGCACGUCCGGUUCGGCGGGCGGGGACGGGAAAACCGACACCUGAAAGGGUGCACGGCGUCCUGUCCCCGACCCAAC